CCCAAACAAGAGAGCCAAAGCCUUCUGCUGCGCUGUCUGUGAAGUUUCGUUGUUUUGGCCAAUUCUGCAUUAUCAGCCUUGUGCUAUGGGAGGGCAUCACUUUUCAUCCCUCGCCUGCAGUGCUUCCCAAUCUCCAUUUAGUCACAGCAGUUAGCUAACCAUGUAGCUGUUGAUAACAUAGCACGGUUUCGGAGCCCCUCAGCCCUCAGGAGGUCUGGGAUUUCUCUGCGCAGCGUGGGCCUGCAGGAGGAACGGAUCCCGGCUGGGAGAGCCAGACCAAUUACAUUGUUGGGAUGGAUGCAGUGCUACGUGAGAAUUGCUCUUAUUAGCAGCCAGUGGGAUAGAAGUUUUGCAGGAGGGCAUUUUCUGCAGCGGUGAGCUGCUAGCCAGAUAUGUAGGUCAGGCACCGAAAGCCGCAGACUGAAAUCAAGGCAACCACUCCGCACACCUUUCCUUCGUGAGAGCUACAGAGACUACCAAAAUCCUCUACACCUGAAAAGGCACCAGGAGAUGACUGUGAAGUGUGUAUGUUACUUUGGCAAGUCCCUUCGAACCCAGGGGUCCCCAGACCACCUCUGCCCAGGCAGGACAGCCACCCGCUCCCAUCGCCUGCAGGUGAGGCCCGGCUGCCUCCCCCCGCACUCAUGAGGAUUAACGAACAGCAAGAAAGCAAAUUGCUACAGUUAAAGGAAGAAAACAGCAGGACUAACACGUUUCAGUUGGGGUACUACACUGAGACUCAGCAAUCUUUAUACUCUUAGAGAGCAGCAGUUCUUUAAGAGCUUUACACCCAAUAAAAUUUAAACUUUUA